GACGAACCGUGCGAACGUUAUUCGGAAUUACUGGGCGUAAAGCGUGCGUAGACGGUAGCGUAAGUCAGAUGUGAAAGCCCCGGGCUCAACCUGGGAACUGCAUUUGAGACUGCUCUGCUCGGGUGCGGAAGAGGGAAGCGGAAUUUCCGGUGUAGCGGUGAAAUGCGUAGAUAUCGGAAGGAACACCAGUGGCGAAAGCGGCUUCCUGGUCCGACACCGACGUUCAGGCACGAAAGCGUGGGGAGCAAACAGG
rnacentral:rRNA from 1 species